UUUUACGCCGUCGCGGCUAACCUCAAUCGUGUUUUUCUGUUUGACAGCUCGCGUGCACUGUUUACAUAGACUUGGUCGUGUUCGAAACGAAAAGUGCUGGGUAUUUUUUUUAUUCAAAGUCGGUCGAAAUUGCAAAGCUAAGCGGAAACCGAAGGCGAAGUGGGCGGCAAACUUGUUUACAUGACCUGCUCGCUGAACCCGAACGAAAACGAAUCCGUGCUGCUGGCGGAAAUGGUCGAGCAAUGCCUCGUUCCGACGUUCAAGCAAAGCCCUGGGAACCGACCACCAAUGACAUGCAAAUCCCGGAAAACUACCGCACCGUCUUCCGACCGCUUAUGCUCCAGCUCCAGCUCCCGAGGACGUAGUCAAAUUUAACCUCGAGCGCUGCAACCUCGCCCUCCUCUACCAACAAAACACCGGCAGAUUCUUCAUCGUCCUGUUUGAGAAGAAAAAGAAGCUGCUCUCGGAGGUUUUCCAUCAAAAACCGCCGUCGAAGGCCUGCGAAGCGGAACCACCCCAAAAGAAGCUAAAACGCUACCACCGCAACCCGCUCAACCUCCUGACUCGGUGCCGCGAAGACAAAAAGAAGAACUGGCCCAGGAGGGUGGAGACCAAGACCUUUUUGCAUUUCGGAUUGGCCGUACUUCGGGUGCUGGUCAACUACAGUCUAGCGGACCAUGUCGUCAGGGUUGUUACGGAGAAGCCGAAAACAAAAUCCGGGCGAACUCCGCGCCACAUAAAAAAAAUACGCGACAAACACAGUCUCAUAAUUUUUUUUCUGAGAUAAAAAAAAAGUUCAAGAACAAAAAAUAAACACGUUCUACGUUUAAGACCUAUUAAAAAAAAACUCUAGAGUUGUAUUCAAUCAAUACAAUUUUAAAAUCAUUAAACGGAACAAAAUUAUUUUCGCUCGGAUGAAGUGAACCAGAAGGAAAAUCCAUAACAAAAAUUAUGGCCAAAAAAUGAAAUCCAAAAUAGAAAUUAAAACAGGAAUAUUAAAGUAAAUUAAAUUAAAAAAAUGUAAA